UAAAGAUUUUAAGGGCGUACGGCGGAUGCCUUGGCGAUAUCAGCCGAAGAAGGACGCGGUAAGCUGCGAUAAGCUACGGAGAGGUGCAAGCAACCUUUGACCCGUAGAUUUCCGAAUGGGGGAACCCGGCAGUGGUUAUGCACUGUCACCCAUACCUUUGAGUAUGAGGAGGGCACCUGGGGAACUGAAACAUCUAAUUACCCAGAGGAAGAGUAAUCAAACGAGAUUUUCUUAGUAGCGGCGAGCGAACGGGAAAGAGGCCAAACCGGAGCGGGCAACCGCACCGGGGUUGAGGACAGUCAUCAAGUGUAAAUGAGGUAGAAGAAUCGAGUUGGAAAGCUCAGCCGCAGAAGGUGAAAGCCCUGUAAUCGAAACCUUGCAUACAUGGGACUGUAUCCAGAGUACCACGAGACACGUGAAACCUUGUGGGAAGCAGGGGGGACCACCCUCCAAGCCAAAAUACUGAUAUCGACCGAUAGCGCAUAGUACCGUGAGGGAAAGGUGAAAAGAACCCCUGGCGGGGAGUGAAAGAGAACCUGAAACCGUAUGUCUACAAACAGUCGAAGUCUGUAUAUAUAUCAGGACGACGGCGUGCCUAUUGAAGAAUGAACCGACGAGUUACUGUUGCUAGCGAGGUUAAGUGGAAAACAUGGAGCCGCAGCGAAAGCGAGUCUGAACAGGGCGUUCAGUUAGUGAUAGUAGACCCGAAACCGUAGUGAUCUAUCCAUGGCCAGGUUGAAGCACAGGUAAAAUUGUGUGGAGGACCGAACUCGUGAGCGUUGAAAAGCUUUGGGAUGAGUUGUGGAUAGGGGUGAAAUGCCAAUCGAACACGGAGAUAGCUGGUUCUCCCCGAAAUAGCUUUAGGGCUAGCCUCGAGGUUGAGAGUAUAGGCGGUAGAGCACUGAUCGGGCUAGGGGCCAUACCGGUUACCGAACCUAGUCAAACUACGAAUGGCUAUACUUAUACUCGGGAGUCAGACAGUGAAUGAUAAGGUCCAUUGUCAAGAGGGAAACAGCCCAGAACACCGACUAAGGUCCCCAAUGUCAUACUAAGUGGCGAAGGAUGUGGAAUUUCCAAAACAACCAGGAUGUUGGCUUAGAAGCAGCCACCAUUUAAAGAGUGCGUAAUAGCUCACUGGUCGAGAGACUCUGCGCCGAAAAUGUCCGGGGCUAAAGUAUGAAACCGAAGUCGUGUCAUAUGCAGCAAUGUAUAUGGGUAGGGGAGCGUUCUCAUCGGAUUGAAGCAGUACCGUAAGGAGUUGUGGACUGGUGAGAAGUGAGAAUGUCGGUAUGAGUAGCGAAAAGAAUGGUGAGAAUCCAUUCCACCGAAAGCCUAAGGGUUCCUGAGCAACGAUCGUCGUCUCAGGGUAAGUCGGGACCUAAGCCGAGGCGGAAAAGCGUAGGCGAUGGACAACAGGUUGAAAUUCCUGUACCGGUGUGAAUCGUUUGAUCGAAGGAGUGACACAGUAAGGUAGGUCAGCACGCGAUUGGAAGUGCGUGUUUAAGCAUGUAGGUUGAGUUAUAGGCAAAUCCGUAACUCUAAAAGCUGAGAUGUGAUGACGAGCUGUUUACAGCGAAGUGAUUGAUCCUACACUGUCGAGAAAAGCUUCUAGGUAGAGACACAUCGCCCGUACCAAAACCGACACAGGUAGGCGGGGAGAGAAUCCUAAGGUGCGCGGGAAAACCCUCGUUAAGGAACUCGGCAAAAUGCCUCCGUAACUUCGGGAAAAGGAGGACUCAUGUAGUGUGAAGGGCAGUAACGCGUGGAGCAUGAAUGAGUGGCACAAGAGAGGCGCAAGCGACUGUUUACCACAAACACAGGUGCCUGCUAAAGCGAAAGCUGAUGUAUAGGUGCUGACACCUGCCCGGUGCUGGAAGGUUAAGAGGAGGGGUUAGACUUUGGUCGAAGCUCUGAAUUGAAGCCCCAGUAAACGGCGGCCGUAACUAUAACGGUCCUAAGGUAGCGAAAUUCCUUGUCGGGUAAGUUCCGACCCGCACGAAAGGCGUAACGA
rnacentral:rRNA from 1 species